rnacentral:rRNA from 1 species
UACGUAGGGGGCAAGCGUUGUCCGGAUUUAUUGGGCGUAAAGAGCUCGUAGGCGGCUUGUCGCGUCGGAUGUGAAAGCCCGGGGCUUAACUCCGGGUCUGCAUUCGAUACGGGCAGGCUAGAGUUCGGUAGGGGAGAUCGGAAUUCCUGGUGUAGCGGUGAAAUGCGCAGAUAUCAGGAGGAACACCGAUGGCGAAGGCAGGUCUCUGGGCCACUACUGACGCUGAGAAGCGAAAGCAUGGGGAGCGAACAGG